UCUUGGCGCUCAAUCAUCUGCCCUCUUCCCUGCUCCCGCGGCGGUAGCGGCAUGCAGUUAUCAACGCAGGAAGAAUUAGGCUUUGCCCAUAUUUUCCCAUCCGCUUCACUGACAGGAUAAAAUGUAAGGGUUUUUUAUAUGUAGGGGUUUUUCAAUGGAUGCAUGGCACCGGGCGCAUAGCUACUACAAUUUCCAUCUUGGCCCUUCGUCGGACAGCCCACUUCUUGCAAUCUGAUCUGCCCAUAUUUUCCCAUCGGCUUCUACUGCUCACUAUCACCAGCUAAGACACAGGCAAGUUCGUGUAUUUAAAAAAAAAAUCUUCUUUGGUAGGGUUCUGUAAUACGUGAACGUGUCUUCUUAGUGCCUGUAGAUCAUUUAUAUGGAUCAUUUGAUAGAUUCCCUCUCAAGAGAUGUUGUUUCAAUGAAUGUGGGGAAAGAGCAGGGACGACUGAGUCGUAAUAGCUGGUAAUUGGUUAUUUGAAUUCAUUGUCAUAUUCAAAUUCCGAUUUGAAAAGGGCCCUUUUGCUUCAGGACAUACCCAAAAUGCUCAACCUUUCCCCGUAAAAUUACUUCUUGUGGCUCCACAAAGAUGUUUUAGAUCUUCUUAGACCAUAGUUGCCCUAAUAAUGACAUAUUGUAAACAAGGCUUCUAGUAGAAGAAAGAAGCCCUUCGACAGGUGUUGGCGAUUUAGAUCGCUCAGGGGUUUUUUCGGUGUGGGACGGUCGGGAAUCUCCUGUGAGAGUGCGCUCUGCCAAAGAGGGGCUUAAGAAUCGUGGCCGUGUCAGCAAACCCUAACUUGCGAUGUUUUUUGGACUCUUCUUCCAUCAGUGUUGGCACUGGGAGUUACUUGCAGGCUACGUGACAUGGGGUUGGUGUUUCGGUGGCUGGGUUGCCUCCUGCUCAUCGGCCACGACACUCUUCAGAUUGUGGUGUUGGGAGCUCUGCUCUUGGCUCAAAUGUUGUCCCAUCGUCUCCACCCCUUGGACGGGAAAACUCUUCUAGGUUUGGCGAUCCUUGUCCCCUUGGUUCUGCUAUUCGCAAAUUAAAAUACUUGGAUAGGUUAUGUUGUGCAACGAGAUACUCUUUGGGAAUUCGAUCCGACGACCUAGUGGCUAUCAAUUGAAAAGAGGCUAUUAUGUCAAAGCUUGCAACUUUUAACAAUGGUGAAAUAAAUGCAGAACCAUCAUUGUUGAUAACUGCAGAUCAAAGCCUUGGAUAAUUGCAGCAUAGCCAGACAAAUUUCUGGUCUUAUUCUCCUCAUGCAGAAUUACAUCAUAUUAUUAGCGGUAAUUUAACCUAGAGGAUUAACAAGAGGGAAAUCUAUGGAGAUAAAAUGGAGUUUUCACAACGGUCUUGUUACGGUUCAGGGUAGUGCAAUUCUGAGGGUGACUUCAGAGAGCUAGACAAAAAAACUGGGUUGACUAUAGAUGAACAACUUUAAAUUUGAGUCUCUUGCAUCUAUUGUAUUCUUGAAUCUUAAAAGGUAUUUUCCUAUUUAGAGAGCAAUAUCACAAUCAAAUUAUUUUCAUUUUGAGUAUCUUGUGCCCUUUGUCAUUCUCUUUGUUCUUAGAGCUAGAGUUCUAUUUUCUAGGAACAUUUUAUUUUGAUAGUAUAAGUUGCUUCUUUUAUAAAAAAUAAUCUUGGGAUUUUGGUAUGUGCCUCUAAUACUACUUUUGAAUACAUAACAUCUAAUGGUUUCUUUCAAUAUAUAAUGAACUUUUUUUUGAUAGAAAAACUAUUCUACAUAUAUACUCAUCAAGCUAACUAAACCUAUAUCUCAUGACUGGACAUAAGAAACCUAUGGGAGGGCAGCUGAAAGGAGGUGAAAGGGACAUGAUUGUGAAGGACAAAAUUUUGACAUCAGGGUUAAGAUAUAUUGUCACCAAAGUUGCUAUAGUUUAGCUCAAACAUAAAUCUGGAGGUUCACACUGAGGAUUAGAAUUAGACCAUGUAGUUGCAAAUUCACAAACAUAAAUGUAUCAUUCAAAUUUUUUGUACAUUCUCUUUGUGUUGCAUAGAGCUGGCUAGAUAUUCUAAGGUUUUGUCUAAGAAACACAGUUAUUUUAUUUUCAAGGCAACACAAAGUUGUUUAAUACAAAAACACAAAAUGGAUUGCAAAAUGGUCACAUGUUCUCAAGCAUUAUUUAGACUUAAAACUCACUACUAA